AGAGACAGCAGUAGCCACGGUAAUACGGAGGAUCCAAGCGUUAUCCGGAAUCAUUGGGUUUAAAGGGUCCGUAGGCGGUCUUGUAAGUCAGUGGUGAAAGCCCAUCGCUCAACGGUGGAACGGCCAUUGAUACUGCAGGACUUGAAUUAUUGGGAAGUAACUAGAAUAUGUAGUGUAGCGGUGAAAUGCUUAGAGAUUACAUGGAAUACCAAUUGCGAAGGCAGGUUACUACCAAUUGAUUGACGCUGAUGGACGAAAGCGUGGGUAGCGAACAGGAUUAGAUACCCGCGUAGUCCCUGUCUCUUAUAC
rnacentral:rRNA from 1 species